AUGGAGAGGUCGAGGUCCAAGAAGAGCCCGUUGCGAUGAGCCUCGCUCAGGAAGUAUCAAGAAAGAUGAUGAGGCAGAACGCGCUCAUAAAGAAAACCCACCAGAGGAUCCUGGGAAAUCAACGCCAAAUCCGCUACCUGACUCAACAAAAUGCGCUGCUAGAGCAGCAGCAAUCAAAAAAUAUUGCUGAGAUGGAACGGCUUCAGAAGCUCAAUCAGAGUUAUAUCUGAAUUUAUUUUUUUAUUAAAAAAUCUUAUUUUUUGGAAA